rnacentral:rRNA from 1 species
UACGAGGGGGGCAAAUGUUGUUCGGAAUCACUGGGCGUAAAGGGAGCGUAGGCGGGUUUUUAAGUCAGAUGUUUAAUCCCGGGGCCCAACCCCGGACCGGCACUUGAAACUGGGAAUCUUGAAUAGGGGAGAGGUCAGUGGAAUUGGAGGUGUAGCGGUGGAAUGCGUAGAGAUCUCCAAGAACACCAGUUGCGAAGGCGGCUGACUGGACCCAUAUUGACGCUGAGGCUCGAAAGCAUGGGGAGCAAACAGG